rnacentral:rRNA from 1 species
UAAUACGAAGGGACCUAGCGUAGUUCGGAAUUACUGGGCUUAAAGAGUUCGUAGGUGGUUAAAAAAGUUGGUGGUGAAAUCCCAGAGCUUAACUCUGGAACUGCCAUCAAAACUUUUUAGCUAGAGUAUGAUAGAGGAAAGCAGAAUUUCUAGUGUAGAGGUGAAAUUCGUAGAUAUUAGAAAGAAUACCAAUUGCGAGGGCAGCUUUCUGGAUCAUUACUGACACUGAGGAACGAAAGCAUGGGUAGCGAAGAGGAUUAGAUACCCUCGUAGUCCAUGCCGUAAACGAUGUGUGUUAGAUGUUGGAAAUUUAUUUUCAGUAUCGCAGCGAAAGCAAUAAACACACCGCCUGGGGAGUACGACCGCAAGGUUA